GAUGAACGCUGGCGGCGUGCCUAAUACAUGCAAGUCGAGCGAACGGACGAGAAGCUUGCUUCUCUGAUGUUAGCGGCGGACGGGUGAGUAACACGUGGAUAACCUACCUAUAAGACUGGGAUAACUUCGGGAAACCGGAGCUAAUACCGGAUAAUAUUUUGAACCGCAUGGUUCAAUAGUGAAAGACGGUCUUGCUGUCACUUCUAGAUGGAUCCGCGCUGCAUUAGCUAGUUGGUAAGGUAACGGCUUACCAAGGCAACGAUGCAUAGCCGACCUGAGAGGGUGAUCGGCCACACUGGAACUGAGACACGGUCCAGACUCCUACGGGAGGCAGCAGUAGGGAAUCUUCCGCAAUGGGCGAAAGCCUGACGGAGCAACGCCGCGUGAGUGAUGAAGGUCUUCGGAUCGUAAAACUCUGUUAUUAGGGAAGAACAUAUGUGUAAGUAACUGUGCACAUCUUGACGGUACCUAAUCAGAAAGCCACGGCUAACUACGUG
rnacentral:rRNA from 1 species